rnacentral:rRNA from 1 species
GACGAACGCUGGCGGCGUGCUUAACACAUGCAAGUCGAACGGAAAGGCCCUGCUUUUGUGGGGUGCUCGAGUGGCGAACGGGUGAGUAACACGUGAGUAACCUGCCCUUGACUUUGGGAUAACUUCAGGAAACUGGGGCUAAUACCGGAUAGGAGCUCCUGCUGCAUGGUGGGGGUUGGAAAGUUUCGGCGGUUGGGGAUGGACUCGCGGCUUAUCAGCUUGUUGGUGGGGUAGUGGCUUACCAAGGCUUUGACGGGUAGCCGGCCUGAGAGGGUGACCGGCCACAUUGGGACUGAGAUACGGCGCAGACUCCUACGGGAGGCAGCAGUGGGGAAUAUUGCCCAAUGGGCGGAAGCCUGAUGAAGCAACGCCGCGUGCGGGAUGACGGCCUUCGGGUUGUAAACCGCUUUCGCCUGUGACGAAGCGUGAGUGACGGUAAUGGGUAAAGAAGCACCGGCUAACUACGUG